AACGAACGCUGGCGGCGUGCCUAAUACAUGCAAGUCGAGCGAAUCGAUGGGAGCUUGCUCCCUGAGAUUAGCGGCGGACGGGUGAGUAACACGUGGGUAACCUGCCUGUAAGACUGGGAUAACUUCGGGAAACCGGAGCUAAUACCGGAUACUUUCUUUCUUCGCAUGAGGGAAGAUGGAAAGAUGGUUUCGGCUAUCACUUACAGAUGGACCCGCGGCGCAUUAGCUAGUUGGUGAGGUAACGGCUCACCAAGGCAACGAUGCGUAGCCGACCUGGGAGGGUGAUCGGCCACACUGGGACUGAGACACGGCCCAGACUCCUACGGGAGGCAGCAGUAGGGAAUCUUCCGCAAUGGACGAAAGUCUGACGGAGCAACGCCGCGUGAGCGAAGAAGGCCUUCGGGUCGUAAAGCUCUGUUGUUAGGGAAGAACAAGUACGAGAGUAACUGCUCGUACCUUGACGGUACCUAACCAGAAAGCCACGGCUAACUACGUGCCAGCAGCCGCCGCAGUAA
rnacentral:rRNA from 1 species